rnacentral:rRNA from 1 species
AGAACGAACGCUGGCGGCGCGCCUAAUACAUGCAAGUCGAGCGAGAAGACGUAGCAAUACGUUUGUAAAGCGGCGAACGGGUGAGGAAUACAUGGGUAACCUACCCUCGAGUGGGGAAUAACUAGCCGAAAGGUUAGCUAAUACCGCGUACGCUCCUUGGACUUCGGUUCAGGGAGGAAAGCGAUACCGUGGGUAUCGCGCUCUUGGAUGGGCUCAUGUCCUAUCAGCUUGUUGGUGAGGUAACGGCUCACCAAGGCUUCGACGGGUAGCUGGUCUGAGAGGACGAUCAGCCACACUGGCACUGCGAUACGGGCCAGACUCCUACGGGAGGCAGCAGUAAGGAAUAUUGCGCAAUGGGCGAAAGCCUGACGCAGCGACGCCGCGUGGGGGAUGAAGGUCUUCGGAUUGUAAACCCCUUUCGGAGGAAGAUGGAACGAGCAAAUCGUUCGGACGGUACCUCCAGAAGCAGCCACGGCUAACUCGUGCCAGCAGCCGCGGUAA